GAAACCAACAGGGAUUGCCUCAGUAACGGCGAGUGAAGCGGCAAAAGCUCAAAUUUGAAAUCUGGCUCCAUGCGGAGCCCGAGUUGUAAUUUGGAGAGGACACUUCGGGUGCGGCCACGGCAUAAGUUCCUUGGAACAGGACGUCAUAGAGGGUGAGAAUCCCGUCUUUGGCUGCUGGACCGCGCCCAUGCGAAGUUCCUUCGACGAGUCGAGUUGUUUGGGAAUGCAGCUCUAAGUGGGUGGUAAAUUUCAUCUAAAGCUAAAUAUUGGCCGGAGACCGAUAGCGCACAAGUAGAGUGAUCGAAAGGUUAAAAGCACCUUGAAAAGGGAGUUAAAUAGCACGUGAAAUUGUUGAAAGGGAAGCGCUUGCAACCAGACUCGGUCGUGGGGGCUCAGCGGGCAUGCGUGCCCGUGUACUCCCCCAUGCUCCGGGCCAGCAUCAGUUCUGGCGGUUGGUUAAAGGCCUCUGGAAUGUAUCGUCCUCCGGGACGUCUUAUAGCCAGGGGCGCAAUGCGGCCAGCCGGGACUGAGGAACGCGCUUCGGCACGGAUGCUGGCAUAAUGGUUGUAAGCGGCCCGUCUUGAAACACGGACCAAGGAGUCUAACAUCCACGCGAGUGUUCGGGUGUCAAACCCGUGCGCGCAGUGAAAGCGAACGGAGGUGGGAGCCCGCAAGGGUGCACCAUCGACCGAUCCUGAAGUCUUCGGAUGGAUUUGAGUAAGAGCGUGGCUGUUGGGACCCGAAAGAUGGUGAACUAUGCCUGAAUAGGGUGAAGCCAGAGGAAACUCUGGUGGAGGCUCGCAGCGGUUCUGACGUGCAAAUCGAUCGUCAAAUUUGGGUAUAGGGGCGAAAGACUAAUCGAACCAUCUGGUAGCUGGUUCCUGCCGAAGUUUCCCUCAGGAUAGCAGUAACGUUUUCAGUUUUAUGAGGUAAAGCGAAUGAUUA
rnacentral:rRNA from 1 species